UAAGGAAUAUUGGACAAUGGUCGCAAGACUGAUCCAGCCAUGCCGCGUGCAGGAAGACGGCCCUAUGGGUUGUAAACUGCUUUUGUACCAGAGAAAACCUAUCUACGUGUAGAUAGCUGAUAGUAUGGUAAGAAUAAGCAUCGGCUAACUUCGUGCCAGCAGCCGCGGUAAGACGAAGGAUGCAAGCGUUAUCCGGAUUCAUUGGGUUUAAAGGGUGCGUAGGCGGGCUUGUAAGUCAGUGGUGAAAUCUCUCAGCUUAACUGAGAAACUGCCAUUGAUACUGCAGGCCUAGAGUAUAGAUGACGUUGGCGGAAUAUGACAUGUAGUGGUGAAAUACUUAGAUAUGUCAUAGAACACCGAUUGCGAAGGCAGCUAACGAAACUAUAACUGACGCUGAGGCACGAAAGUGCGGGGA
rnacentral:rRNA from 1 species